UGCAAAUCACGUAUCAUUGGAACUGCAAUUUCAGGGUUAACAUCAGCAGCCGCAACAGGAAGAUCAAGCACUUCACAGAUCACCAUCAGUGCAGGAACAGGAAGAUCAAGCACUU